rnacentral:rRNA from 1 species
CCUACGGGAGGCAGCAGUGGGGAAUAUUGGACAAUGGGGGGAACCCUGAUCCAGCCAUGCCGCGUGUGUGAAGAAGGCCCUCGGGUUGUAAAGCACUUUCAGUGAGGAAGAACGCCUGGUGGUUACUACCCAUCAGGAAAGACAUCACUCACAGAAGAAGCACCGGCUAACUCCGUGCCAGCAGCCGCGGUAAUACGGAGGGUGCGAGCGUUAAUCGGAAUUACUGGGCGUAAAGCGCGCGUAGGUGGCUUGAUAAGCCGGUUGUGAAAGCCCCGGGCUCAACCUGGGAACGGCAUCCGGAACUGUCAAGCUAGAGUGCAGGAGAGGAAGGUAGAAUUCCCGGUGUAGCGGUGAAAUGCGUAGAGAUCGGGAGGAAUACCAGUGGCGAAGGCGGCCUUCUGGACUGACACUGACACUGAGGUGCGAAAGCGUGGGUAGCAAACAGGAUUAGAUACCCUUGUAGUC